rnacentral:tRNA from 1 species
GGGCUGAUAGAUCAGCGGUAGAUCGCUUGCUUUGCAAGCAAGAUGUCGCGAGUUCAAAUCUCGCUCAGUCCA